rnacentral:rRNA from 1 species
AUAUGACCACAUGCCGCAUGGUGUGUGGUGGAAAGAUUUAUCGGUGCAGGAUGGGCCCGCGGCCUAUCAGCCUGUUGGUGAGGGUAAUGGCUUCCCCAAGGCGUCGACGGGUAGCCGGGCGUGAGAGGUGACCGGCCACACUGGGACUGAGACACGGCCCAGACUCCUACGGGAGGCAGCAGUGGGGAAUAUUGCACAAUGGGCGAAAGCCUGAUGCAGCAACGCCGCGUGAGGGAUGACGGCCUUCGGGUUGUAAACCUCUUUUAGCAGGGAAGAAGCGAAAGUGACGGUACCUGCAGAAAAAGCGCCGGCUAACUACGUGC